UUAAUUAUAGAUAAAGAGACUAACGCUACUUAUGUACAUAAGGGUUUCGAUUAACUCAUAACCAUAACGAAUUUAACCCGAUACAACGCUACAAAGAGGAGGAAGGGGAAGUCCGUUGAAGUAAAGUGCUCACUUUCACCAUCUUCCUCACCUUCCGAUCACCUGCCGCCGCUGCCGCUCCAUCUCCAACAUUAUCAUCUGCCGCUGUAGCCAAACCACCACCGUUGUCGUCAACGUCAUGAACUACGACCAUCUUAAGAUUGUAGUCCAAGCUCAACCUUCUCUUCUUCACCGGCAACGCUCUCUCCUCCUCCCUCCACCACCACCCAACGGAUACAGCUGACUUGGGUUCGUCCGGCGACGGUGGCGGAAUCCUCCCGGUCAUCAUGAAGGUUGUCAUUU
rnacentral:lncRNA from 1 species